UAAUCCCUACCCCUAUAUAAUAGUAUCUAACACCUAAAAUAAAGAGAGACCCUAAAAAAAUUAGAUCCGUCGUUUUGUCUUCUUCCGAAAUCAAAGAAGACCAAGAAAAUGAUGCCUAAAAUCGUUCUUCUUCAUUGAGUGAAUCAAGGAAAAAGCUGAAGGCACCGUUUUUGUUGAUCUUGAGAUCCGCCAUUUCCUAAAGAGAUAAAAAAAAAGCAAAAAAGAUACAAACACAAAAAGAGCUGAAAUACAAAAAAAAACGCUAAGGAAAAAAGCUGAAAAGAGAGCCAAAAAAUACACCUAGAAAUAAGAGACAAAACAGAUCCACCAAAAUUCUCAGAAAAUAUACGACCCCCUCCCCUCCCUUUGAGCCAUCAUCUUCUUCAGAAGCAAACAUAAAACAAAAAAACCUAGGUUGUAGAACACAAAAUGACCCCCCAUCGAUCCCCAUUCCCAUCGUCGCUGCUCCUCCUCCCCGUCACCCUCACCUCGACGGAAAACAACACCAUCCGCUGCUCAUCCUCACAACAACGUUCGAGCAGCAACACACGUCCCAUCAUCCUCACAAAACCAGUCAUUUCCCUGAGCUCACUCCAUCAGCUACUCGAACAAGCAGCGACCAAACGCACACGAACCAGCUGACCCUUCUUCAUCCUCUCCUUCAGCCUAUAGCACCCCGUCAUCGUCUCAUGCCCAGACACGACACUGUUACAGCAACCAGAUUUUAAUCCAAAAAAUAGAGAAGUCUCUGCUUCUUCUCUUUGGUUCGAUCUCGAUUAUUUUUAGUUUCAAAUUCAUAGAUUCCAUUUUGAAGCUCGUUUGGAGAGUUGUUUGGAGCCGAGAUGUUGGAAGCGAUUUGAAGUCGUUGUUCAGUUCCGUUCGAGAUUCCGAUGAGGUUCCGGCGCUACUGCAUUUUCUAUUCGGUUUCAGAUUUUGGAGCUGGAGUUAUUGUGCAGGGUGGGAGCUGGCAUUGAAUAUUCAUGCGUUGGGACUAGGAGGUUUUAUCCAUACAAAAAAAGGUUGUGAUAUUGGAUAAUUAACGCCCUCUUCUCCAGGCAUGCUGCUCUUUCAGUAUAUGACAAAGAACUUUUGGCUAUUGAUCAAAAGGCUCUGAAUUCCUUAAUGGACCAAAAAUUGCAUACCAAUUCCUAUCUAAUGUGGUUAACUAAAUUGAUGCCUUUUGAUUAUACCAUUGAGCACAAGAGAGGAGUUGAAAAUAAGGUGGCAGAUGUGCUCUCUGAUGUCGAAUUAUUAUCAUUGGUAAUUCUACUACCGUUCUGACUUUUUACUACCUGUCAUAACACAGUUGAAACACAUAUCCUGAAUUAAAAGCUCUUAUUGAACGGCUAUAAUCCGAUCAUUCAGCUCACUCCCACUUUACUUGGCACCAUAACCAGUUGAUGAGAAAAGGGACCUGACAUUUUAUAUGUUGUAAGUCUUCUAUCUAGAUUCACUAAUUGUGCAACUAAUACACAUUUUAUAGCAGCUCAAAGGGCAACGCGAUAUGUUAAAAGAACAAUAAAUUUUAGAAUCAAAUCUUAUGCAAAUGAGAUGUACGUAGGGGUGUUUCGAGUUUCGACGGUGAUUGGGCGUUGAUUCUUCUGAUAAUAUAAUUUUAAUCUUGGUUUGGGGGUAUUUUCUUCGUAUUCUGAGAAACAACAGAUUGUUGCACAAUCUACAGCUGAAGCUGAGAUCUAGGCAGUAACAGCUGCUGCAAAUCAAGCCUUAUGGCUUAGAAAGUUUGCUUGAUUUGAAUUUGAAGCAAGAAGAGCGCACAAAGAGACCUGUAGAAGGAAGAAUAUGUUGGAUUAAAAUACUGCAAGACCGAUCUUCAACUAGCAAAUAUGUUUGCCAAAGAGCAAAUUUGAAUUUUGGAGAGAGGCUUGGAAUCUGCAGCAACUGAAGCAAGGAAGAGUGUUGAAGAAUUGCUUCAGCUGGCUACUGCAAGAAAAAGUCAAAACAACUUCGUUGGAUUUUCUCAUGAUCAUGGAAUUAUGUGUUAAGUAAUUGCUUAAUUCUAGGAUCUAAUUAUUGAGUCAAAACAACAUUCCUUUAAACUCCUUUCUAGGGUUAGUUGCCUCUUUUCAUGAAUUCAAGCAAAUGACAAUAUUGGUCAUCAAAUGAUGAUAACCACCAAAUUUACAUUCACACAAUAACUACCUGAUCUGUUUAUGCGAGGAGUGUUUUAUGAACACAAUAGUUCUAUAGUAUAAUCAAAACAUCAGGGAAAGAAGAAGAAAAAUGACAAUG